GCGGAGGAUCAUUAUCAAAAAUAAUUUAUUAUUUUUUGAAAUAUUUUUCCCAAUUUCCCUUGUAUAUCUGCUCCAUGUUGCUUCCACUAGACAGGCAUAUAUAUUAUUAAAAAUUCAAUUUUCAAUAAUAUUUUUGCCCUUUUUAACCCCGUCGAGGGGCCGAAGAAUAGUCGGUGGAUAGCCUUGAUCCAAGAAAACACUUUUAGAUUUAGUCUGAUAAAUAUAGUAUUUUUUCUGAAUAAAAAAAACUUUCAACAACGGAUCUCUAGGCUCUUGCAUCGAUGAAGAACGCAGUGAAAUGUGAUAAGUAAUGUGAAUUGCAGAAUCUCGUGAAUCAUUGAAUCUUUGAACGCACAUUGCGCCUAAUGGUAUUCCAUUGGGCAUACCUGUUUGAGUGUCAGAAUCCUCACAAUUAUCAAACUGUUAAAUAUGUACUAUUUAUUUCUUUUAUCAAUAGACAUAUAUAUAAUGAUGUUUGGACUAUUAUUGAGAAAAGUAGUAUUUAUUAAAAUAUUACUUUCUUAAAAAUCAGGAUAAUUUUUGUUUAGAUUUUGAUCAACUCAUUUUGUAUGCAAUAUAACAAAUGAGUAUGAAUAAAAGCAACAAUACUUUAUUUUGGAUGACCUCAAAUCAGGUAGGGAUACCCGCUGAACUUAAGCAUAUCAAUAAGGCGGAGGA
rnacentral:rRNA from 1 species